AGGAGAGAGGACUGCAGUCACACCAACACCCAGCACGAAGGCCUAGGGCAACUUACGAUUCUGGAUCACCUAGAUUAGUCACACUGCAGCAGAAGAUGCCAAAAUGAUGCUGACAGUGAUGUGGAUGUGGAUGUGAAGUUGAAGGAAGAGAUUUAGUACCUCCAGUAUGUGAUACCUAAUAAUAGUUUUCCUUUCCUUUCCUCUUUCUUGGACUUUUUAUGCUGCAGUACUGUAGAAGCCCGUCUAUGGCUAGUACAAAAAAUAAUAAAAAAGGUAAUUGCAGCUUUAUAUCUUACAAUUGUGACUUUGUGUCUCACAGAGUGACUUUAUUUCGUAUUUUUUAUUUCUCAAAAUUGGGAAUGAUUUCAUAAUUUUGUCUUCAUAUCUCAUAGUGUGACUUUUUCCAUAUUUUAAACUCUGGAGGAAACAGGUUUCUGUAACACUAUAGAACCUUAGAAUAGAAAUGAAUGUCUGUUUAUAAAGCAGUUAUAGUGAAAUUGUUAGUGUUAGAUGAAGAAUUUUGUUUUUCAGCCCAGAUUUUGAACCACUUGGCUACAUUAUUUUUGCCUAUUUCACUUGCAUAUUGACACCUAUUUUUAAUAUAAAAAUUCCUUAAUAAGUAGUAGCAUCAAGUAGCAUCAUCUCUGAGGAGUGUUUUGCUGAUUGUGGCAAAAUAGCAAGAGAUGCUGACAAAAUGCUAUUCCAGUAAAAUUUGGUUUUGUGUUAUUUUGAUGAUCUCUUUCUCUGACAGGCUGCUGCAGGAGGAGCAGGAGACUGAUGUCACUCUGUGUGUUGGUUCUGCUGUUCGGUUGAAGGCCCACAGGGCGGUGCUGCUGGCCCGAGCUCCUCACCUCCUGCAGGGAACCGAAGCAUCUACACCUGUCAUUCACCUGCAGGGGAUUGAACCUGCAGCCCUCAAGGACUUUAUACAAAAAGUGUACACAGAAGACAAGUGCCUGGUGAAGGAGAAUAGCAUCUUAAAUAUACACAACGGCCACUCGCUUGUAGUGAACGACACUGCUGCAGACGACCAUGAUGUUGACUCUAAGGUCAGCUCUGACUCAGGUUCAGAGCAUUUAGAGCCAGCAUCAGGGCUUGGGGCAGAUCUUUUGGCUCUGUAUCAGAGGGCUGAUAUGUCUGACAUCAGCAUCCAGGUGGCAGAUAGAGUCUUUUCAGCACACAGAGUGAGAGCGGAGUAUUUGAGCUGCGCACAGAGCUUGGAAGACAGUGACUGGAUCAAAACUCUUCAGACGACACACAGAUUAUAUCCACACCUUUGUAAGUUACUCUACACAUAUUUAUCAGUAAAUGUAAAUUCGAUAUAGGUUGAUGCAGAUAGAAAAAAAAACUCCAAUAUCAGUCGAUGCCUGGUCAUGUGCAUGCUUAAUUUUCAAUCAGUGCUAGAUGGUACGACUUCAGUGAAGUCAGUUAUAUGUUGCUAAAUCAUAAAUGCCCAGAAGGUGGCAGGAUUACAGUUUACUUCUUCAUGAAGCAGUAAAGGCGAAACUAAUCAGAAGAAAACUGUUUUACUACGCGAAUCUAAUCUAGCAUUGAAAACCAUUUACAAAACAUCAUAUUUUGAUUAAUGCACACUAAUCUGUAGUGAUUCAUCUCUAAUGAUAUGCGUGUGCAACACAGGUCAUGUUCUGAAGAUGAAUUACAGCACUGUUUUAUCUGUGUAGUUUUCUGUCAUUGAGAAUUUCGUUAGCACCUUUGUUUGGUGCUGCAGAGGUUAGAGCAGUUGCCAUGACCUGUUACUAUAGUAACAGACUCUCCCUUAUCAUCAGCCGGGAGCAGCAUCUCUGCAGGUUUGGGUUGUAUGGAUAGAGAAAGACAUCUGCAGUCCUUAUCAGUAUGUCAGACCUGAGGUGACUGCUGCAGAUCUGUCAGUCUCACUGCAGGAUACACACACCUAAACAGCACUGAUAAUCCCGGUCUCAUCUCCCGUUCACUUUCAUCAACCCUCCCUCAUCUGUCCAUACAUUUCCCAUGAGGAUGAUCUUUCAUAACACACAUACACUCACUGGCCACUUUAUUAGGUACACCUUGCUCGUACUGGGUUGGACCCACUUUUGCCUUCAGAACUGCCUUAAUUCUUCGUGGCACAGAUUCAACAAGGUGUUGGAAACAUUCCUCAGAGAUUUUGUUCCAUAUUGACAUGAUAGCAUCAUGCAGUUGCUGCAGAUUUGUCGGCUGCACAUCCACAAUGCGAAGCUCCCGUUCCACCACAUCCCAAAGCUACUCUAUUGGGUUGAGAUCUGGUGACUGUGGAGGACAUUUAAGUUAAGUGAGCUCAUUGUCAUGUUCAAGAAACCAGUCUGAGAUGAUUUGAGCUUUAUGACAUGGUGCAUUAUCCUGCUGGAAGUAUGCCAAGAAAAUAUCCCACACACCAUUACACUACCACCAGCCUGAACCAUUGAGACAAGACAGGAUGGAUCCAUGCUUUCAUGUUCUUUACACGUGGGGAAGUCGUGGCCUAAUGAUUAGAGAGUUUGACUCCUAACCCUAAGGUUGUGGGUUCGAGUCUCGGGCCGGCAAUACCAUGACUGAGGUGCCCUUGAGCAAGGCAACGAACCCCCAACUGCUCCCGGGCGCCGCAGCAUUAAUGGCUGCCCACUGCUCUGGGUGUGUGUUCACGGUGUGUGUGUGUUUUCACUGCUGUGUGUGUGCACUUUGGAUGGGUUAAAUGCAGAGCACGAAUUCUGAGUAUGGGUCACCAUACUUGGCUGUAUGUCACGUCACGUCACAAAAUUCUGACCCUACCAUCUGAAUGUCGCAGCAGAAAUCAAGACUCAUCAGACCAGGCAACGUUUUUCUCCCGGGCGCCGCAGCAUUAAUGGCUGCCCACUGCUCUGGGUGUGUGUUCACGGUGUGUGUGUGUUUUCACUGCUGUGUGUGUGCACUUUGGAUGGGUUAAAUGCAGAGCACGAAUUCUGAGUAUGGGUCACCAUACUUGGCUGUAUGUCACGUCACGUCACAAAAUUCUGACCCUACCAUCUGAAUGUCGCAGCAGAAAUCAAGACUCAUCAGACCAGGCAACGUUUUUCCAAUCUUCUAUUGUCCAAUUUUGGUGAGCCUGUGCGAAUUGUAGCCUCUGUUUCCUGUUCGUAGCUGACAGGAGUGGCACCCGGUGUGGUCUUCUGCUGCUGUAACCCAUCUGCUUCAGGGUUCAACGUGUUGUGCGUUCAGAGAUGGUAUUCUGCAUACCUUGGUUGUAACGAGUGGUUAUUUGAGUUACUGUUGCCUUUCUAUCAUCUCUAAUCAGUCUGCCCAUUCUCCUCUGACCUCUGACAUUUUCAUCCACACAACUGCCGCUCACUGAAUAUUUUCUCUUUUUCUAACCAUUCUCUGUAAACCCUAGAGAUGGUUGUGUGUGAAAAUCCCAGUAGAUCAGCAGUUUUUGAAAUACUCAGACCAGCCCGUCUGGCACCAACAACCAUUCUAUGAUCAAAGUCACUUAAAUCCCCUUUCUUCCCCAUUCUGAUGCUCGGUUUGAACUUCAGCAAGUCGUCUUCUUCUUCUUCUUUUCAUUUUUUGGCAGAUUGCAACCAUGACUUUUAAAGGUGCAUACCGCCACCUACUGUAUCAGAGUAUGUAACAUGAGCUAUAUCCAUUGGUACUACUUUAUAUACAAAAAAAAAAAAAAAAAAAAAACAACCAAAUUAUUCUAUAUCCUAUUGUAUAUAGAAAGUUAGUCGCAAAACAACAACCAGUGGGAAGAAUGAGUUUAGAGCCCUGAAGUGCUGUCUAUUUACCCGUUUGUCGAUGUCGCCAUGCUGCAGCUGGACGAAUCGGGCACUGAUUGCAGCAAUGUAGCUCUGCUGAUUGGAGAAGGCCACACGCCCCGCCCCCUUUGGGUACUUCAGCUCUGGAUCAGUGUCAAUACCUGCAUAACACACUCCACCAUACAAGCGGUCCAUGAUCAUCGCCAGCUCCACUGCAGAGAAACAUACCAUUAAAAAACACACAUGGAAGACAUAAGUUGAAAUUGUCACAUCAGUUAAAAGGAAAUUAAUACAUUAAAAAAUGUAAGACUAUUGAAUAGAAAAAUAUUACUACACACACACACUUUCUUUAAAAAUGUUUCAAUUUAAAUUUAUUUUUGAAAUUAAUUUUAGAAUCUUUGUGAUAAUUGGAAUCUCUUCACAUUGUGUACAUAUGCAGCAAUUUAUAACAAAUACAACAAAUUGUCAUGUGUUUAGCGUACCAGCUCUGAGUGGACGUGGCACUCCUCCUACAAAGAUGGUUUUGCGGGGGUCCAGAGGUUGAGAACCGUCCAUCACAAAAUCACUGUCACUCAGAUUCCAUGGACGAAAAUCCCCAAUUAUACGACCAUUGUUCUACCUUUCCUAUUGCUUCCUUGAUUUUACUUCUCACCCUUAUGGCAUCUCGUCCUCUUACCCAUAUGGCCCCAUCAUCUGCAUACAGUGCUGACCCAAUCCUUCUAUCUAGAUUCAUAAAAAUAUCAUUGAUCAUAACAUUAAAUAAAACUGGACUAAUAACACUGCCUUGUGGAAUUCCAUUAACAAUUUCAAAUUCCUCAGAUACGUCUGAUCCCACUUUGACUCUAAAUCUUCUUUCUGACAGAAAUUCUAAUACCCAGUUAUAUAACUUACCUCUAAUUCCCAUUUUAUUCAUUUUAAUUAGUAACCCCUCCCUUUCACAUGGAAUCAUAAGCUUUUUCAAUAUCAAAGAAUACAAUACUCAUUAUUUCUUUCAUUUUAAAUGUUUUCUCUAUCUCGUUGCUUACUUUCACAACAGCAUCCAUUGUGGAACGCCCUUUUCUGAACCCACUUUGAUAUGGUGCAAAUAAUCCUCUGUGUUCAAGGGUCAAACAGACAGUGAACAGACUGACUGUGAUAAAUGCACUGCAGCUGGACGCCACAAAAAAAUACAAAUCUUCUAUUAAGAAUUGAUUGUGAUUAUUUAUAUAGCAUUAAUUUGUCCUCUAUCAAACAUGACUUCAUUCAGUGGAGGAAAAUAAACAAGCUCAUAUGAAACAAAGUUAAAAAUCAGUUUCUUCAAA
rnacentral:lncRNA from 1 species